rnacentral:lncRNA from 1 species
UUUCUCUAUCUGCCUAAGCUUGAUAAAAUGACUAGUUGUGAGUAUAGAGACUUGCCUGAGCCGGUUCAGAUUCCGGGGUGUAUUCCGGUCCAUGGGAGGGAUCUACCUGGCCCGGUUCAAGAUAGGAAGACUGAGGCUUAUAAGUGGGUGCUUCAUCAUGUGAAGAGGUAUAGUUUGGCUGAUGGAAUAAUGGUGAAUAGCUUCAUGGACUUGGAGGGAGGAGCUAUCAAAGCUUUACAAGAAUUGGGUAGACCACCGGUUUACCCGGUCGGACCGCUCAUUCAAAGGGAUCAUUCAACUACAGGUGCUGAUGGGUUGGAUUGUUUAAGGUGGUUGGAUGAUCAGCCUAGUGGCUCUGUCUUGUUUGUCUCAUUUGGCAGCGGGGGGACUCUGACGACUAAUCAGAUUACUGAGUUGGCCUUGGGAUUGGAAAUGAGUGGCCAAAGAUUCUUAUGGGUUCUUAGAAGUCCAAAUGAUGAAUCUGCCAACGCAGCUUUCUUUGAUAGCUAUAGUAAAAAAGACCCCCUUGAUUUCUUACCACAAGGUUUCAUUGACAGAACCAAAGGCCAUGGUCUCGUGGUGCCUGAUUGGGCUCCUCAAGCACAAAUACUUAGUCAUGGCUCAACUGGUGGCUUCUUGACUCACUGUGGCUGGAACUCGAUUCUUGAGACUGUGACGAAUGGCGUGCCUGUGAUUGCAUGGCCACUCUAUGCAGAGCAGAAGAUGAAUGCUGUAAUGCUGAAUGAAGAUCUUAAAGUUGCCCUGAGGCCACAAGUUGGGGAGAAUGGUAUGGUGGGAUGUGUUGAAAUCGCAAAGCUCGUCAAGGGUUUGAUUGAAGGAGAAGAAGGUAAGGGUCUUCGAGCCAGGAUGAGAGACCUGAAAGAUGCAGCCGUCAAGGUUCUUGGUGAAGACGGAUCAUCAACAAAAGCCAUGGCUCAAGUAGUUAGCAAAUGGUGUAUUUAAGGUUAUCAUUUACUUUCAGAAGUUUUUAGCUUGCUUUCUUGUUAAAUAUUUUACCGAGUCUCCUUUCUUAAGUUUCAGAAACUACAUGAAACAUCUAGCCACAACAUAAACUGAAAGAAACUACACAGAAAUUUUAUGUUACAAGACUAUUAGUGACAUGGCAAUGCGUAAGAUUGAGCUAGAAGAAUUUGUGAAGGCAGCAGUAUCAGAGAAAAAAUCGGUUUUAAGACUGUUUGAUACUGCGCGCCUAUGACUUCGUUUCUCAGGAAAUUCGCGCGGCAGAAGAUCCUGAUGAUUAAUCACCUGCUUCUCAUGUUCCGUGAAUAGCUGGGACAUUGAGGAAUAUCCAGAGGCUUUUCGGGAAACUCAUUUGUCAUUGUUGAGACCUGACGGGCAUCCAGGACCUUGCAGAAGUCCGCAUCCGUUUUCGAUAAUUCUGAUAGGAUCUGGUUGUUGGAAUAAUAUUGAAUAAAUUUUAUAUUAUUAUUUUUGAUUAUGUAACUUUUGUUAAUUAAUUUGUGUAACUCCUAUAAUAAUGACUCAAGUUUAAAUUGUUCACUAAAAAUAAUAAAAUAAUAAUAUAAAAUUUAUUCAAUAUUAUCCCAAAACCGGUGCUAUCAGUUAUGUAACCUUGUUUCUACUUGGAAGAAGGGGUAAGAUUGUCUACAUCUUACCAUAGCCAGACAUAUCAGUAUUUAUAUUUUAGUUAGUUAUGUAAUUUCAUUUUGUUGACAGAUAUCUUGAUUAUCUAUAUUAUAUUAUGUUACUAGUUGUAAAUUAAUAUGUAAUUUGUUGAAGAAAAAGCUUCUUAUUCUAAACCCAACUUCUUUGUAUUUGACACAAGCAAGAUUAGACACUGAAACGUGUUACAAGCUCAAAGAUUAGGAAAAACAGCUACAAUAAUUCAAAAGCAGACUUAUUAUUGAGGCUCAUUUCAUAACACGUGAUAAUAAUGAAGAUAUUAGAGCACUAUCCAAAGUCCUGUAUAAUGGAAGAGUUAGUAGAUCUCCUUUGUCAUUCAUACAACUCUAACUACUCUGAUUUCAUAUUGAUCAAAAACUUAACCCAUACCUAUAUUAUUUUAUGAAAGAUUUUGUGCAUGAAAUAGUGUCUCUUUAUUGGACUGGUAGUUGGCUAGUUGGAGAUGUUUGAUUCAUGAUUAAUGAGAAAGAUAAAUAAUAAUCGAAAUUUUAACUAUGAAUUUUGUGACAUUAAAUGAGAAACUCAAUCCCGAGUGAUUAAAUCAUUCAUUACACUCUUUUUAAGAUACCCAUAUUCAUAUCCCUCGCUAUGGAGCUACCAAAUCCGGCUCAUAAGCCGAUGCUCAUAAGACUAAUACAGUGAAGAUAUUUUUAGAAAUUAUGGUGGGAGUACUGGAUCUCUUAUAUAAGUGAAGUAGUUGUGCAUCUUUUUAUUCCAUUCAUGCACUACAAAUUCUACAAUACAGCUCCAGUUUCAUUUCACUUGGUGUUUAGUUGAAAUGGAGAAACCGUCUCACAUAGCCAUUUUCCCCACUUCUGGAAUGGGUCAUCUCAUUCCACUUGUUCAGUUUGCUAAAAGGCUCAUAAGCCUUCACAAUUUCACUGCAACUUUUAUCAUAGCUACUGAUGGCCCUCUUUCUAAAGCUCAACAAACAUUUCUCGAUUCGUUGCCUAAUGGUUUAGACUAUGUUGUUCUUCCUCCUGUUAAUCUUGAUGAUUUGUCCGAUGAUGUUACGGUCGAAACACGAAUGAUGAUUAUAAUGUCGAGAUCAUUGCCUUCGUUUCGUGACACGUUUCAAUCCUUUCAUGCAGCCAACAAGUUUGCUAGCCUGGUUGUUGAUCUUUUUAGUACAGAUGCACUUGAUGUUGCUAUUGAAUUCAAGGUGCCACCUUAUCUUUUUUUCCCUUCGACUGCUAUGGCCUUGUCAUUGUUUCUCUAUCUGCCUAAGCUUGAUAAAAUGACUAGUUGUGAGUACAGAGACUUGCCUGACCCGGUUCAAAUUCCGGGGUGUAUUCCGGUCCAUGGGAGGGAUCUACCUGGCCCGAUUCAAGAUAGGAAGAGUGAGACUUAUAAGUGGAUGCUUCAUCAUGUGGAGAGGUACAGUUUGGCUGAUGGAAUAAUGGUGAAUAGCUUCAUGGACUUGGAGGGAGGAGCUAUCAAAGCUUUACAAGAAUUGGGUAGACCAAUGGUUUACCCGGUUGGACCGCUCAUUCAAAUGGAUCAUUCAACUACUGGUGCUGAUGAGGUGAAUUGUUUAAGGUGGUUGGAUGAUCAGCCUAGUGGUUCUGUCUUGUUUCUGUCCUUUGGUAGUGGCGGAACUCUGACGGCUAAUCAGAUCUCUGAGUUGGC